ensembl:lncRNA
UCUCUUGCAAAAUGCUCCUUUGUCAUCAAAACAAUGUCAUGUCUCCUCAAAAUGGUAUUUUGUGUUCAAAUGACACACACAGAGUGUCAUCAUAUGAGUAGAUAUUUCUAAGCAAUCAUUGAACACUGAUGUGCUUAAUGGAAAACACUACUAUGAAUGGCAAAACACCAGUAUGAAGGCCUUAUCAGGAGCAGGAGCCUUUUCAUGUUCAGUGUUACUGUACGCUUACUCCUGUUGUAAAAUAUAACUGUAUAAUGUUUUUACUCAAAUAUAAAACAACACACAAAUAUAAAGUAACAACAAAAAUAUUUCUUUCUUUUUUCUAAAAGUGCUGUAGCCUGUACAUCACAGCAAACACAACUGGAUGCGUAAAUGAUUUGCACAGAACAAACAAUAGAAAAUAGGCCAGUACAGUCAACAACACUUUGUAUUUGUUUGAUUGUUAUAGCAUUAUUUUCCACAACCAUAUUGACUAUUACAGUCUCCUGUUCAGCCGUCAAGACACGCUCCCUCCCACCACGCCAGGAGAAAGGAUGCAACUGAGAAGGCCAGCCUCCUGCAUGGUCAAACCAUGGUUGACCACAUGGUUGACCACAGUGGCCCGAAUCUCAUCAGCGAUAAUGGCUCUAUUUCUUGCUCUUCCUCCUCUUCCUCAUCCUCCUCCUCUUACUCUCACUCCUCUGCCUCUCUGAUCAACUCUCACUUCAAAUGAGGCAUGCUUUCAAAAAAUGUGUGUAAGCAAUUGAGAAAAACUGUAAUAGCGAAGUUACACAGCGAAAGUUCGAUCUAGUUCUAGUGACCAACCUGAUUAUGUUCCAUGUAUACGCAGAUAUAUCAGAGGAUAUAUGGGCAUGAAAACUGGCCUGAAAGGCUUGGAAAUGUUUUGGUAAAAACGUGUAUGAGCCCUAUAGAUCAUGCUUAAGACAUGUGUAUGAGCCCUAUAGAUCAUGCUUAAGACAUGUGUAUGAGCCCUAUAGAUCAUGCUUAAGACAUGUGUAUGAACCCUAUAUAUCAUGCUUAAGACAUAUGUAUGAGCCCUAUAGAUCAUGCUUAGGACAUGUGUAUGAGCCCUAUAGAUCCUGCUUAAGACAUGUUUAUUUGUCUUGUUUGGUGUGAAAAUGUUUGCCACAGAAUAACAAGGAUGAAUAUACAAUUCAUUCAAAUAUAAAAUCCAUGUGCUCCAUGCGUUACAUAAGAUGGAGGCUGUUGACAUAGAUUUUCAGUGUCUGUUGGUGUGACAGGAAAUGGACAGGGAGAGAUUGUGUUUGAACACAACAAAACUAACAUGAAGACACAUGAAGCAUUUUUAGGCUUAAUCUAGUCUUUUUCAUCAUAUGACUCUAAUGUCUGUUAUACUGGCCUGGCAGAGCUGGCAUUGAGUCACCACUUUAAAAGGAGUUCCUCACAUCCUGGCUCUCCCUUACAUGCACAUAUACCAAUCAUAGGUCAAACUAAUGGCAAAAUUUGGUUGAAUUAUGAAAGCCAGAAGUGGUACUAAACGAAGAACCGUUUGGGGGCCGAAAGAGCUGGCUCUUAUUGCUAAGCUCAGCCAAAUCUGGUUCACUAAAAAGAACCAGAAGUCACGAG